rnacentral:rRNA from 1 species
UACGUAGGGGGCAAGCGUUGUCCGGAUUUAUUGGGCGUAAAGAGCGUGUAGGCGGCCAUGUAGGUCCGUUGUGAAAACUCGAGGCUCAACCUCGAGACGUCGGCGGAAACCAUCUGGCUAGAGUCCGGAAGAGGCGAGUGGAAUUCCCGGUGUAGCGGUGAAAUGCGCAGAUAUCGGGAGGAACACCAAUGGCGAAGGCAGCUCGCUGGGACGGUACUGACGCUGAGGCGCGAAAGCGUGGGGAGCAAACAGGG